rnacentral:pre_miRNA from 1 species
AUCAUCGGGGUGCCACGUCCAAGUGCAUAUCCUGACUGCACAGACACAGGGUUCUGCAUUUCUAGCAAGUUCCCAGGACAU